GUCCAGGUGAGUUGACGCAGGUGCAAAGAAGAAGAAGCAGUGGCACCUGACUGAAGAAGAUGCUGAGAAAAACAAACAGAACACAACAGUUGCGUUAAAGUCGUGUGUCUGUUCAGUUACAGCCGAGGAUCAGAGGACGUCAAGGCUUCAGACCAGCAGCUCACAAACCAGUGGAGGACGUCCCAGUGACACUGAUGCUUCCCCCCCACUGUCUUCCAUUGACUGUGAUGAGCAGAGCUGGUAACACCGUGCUGGGAAUUCUCAUGAACAGUCAUAACACAGGGACCCACACAAAGCCGGCAUCAUCCUCGCGAGCGGCGCCGGUGACAGCUGCAGAGAUGUGACACAGAAGAUGCUCUAUCUGAGGAACAAGGUGAGAGAGCGGCGGUGGAUUAGAGGGCGGCUAUCUCGCUCGCCCAGGGCCCUGUGAAACCCAGGAGGCAGCUGGCACGAGUCUCCACGCCGCCCACGACCCCGCGCCUCCUCUCAGCGAGGAGCAGGCGCAUUUACAACCCUGUUUCCAUCCGGACUCCUCCUGCUCUCCGGCGGGGUAAGACCUUGAGGGGUCAGAGGUCAACGUAUCCUCCCCACCCGCCAGGCGCACGCACUCCGACGGCUCCGGGGCCGAGGGCUUUGUGUUCCCACUGGGACGCGGCAACCUUUGAACUGGGCAGCGAGAGGAGGUGAGGGAGGAGGUGAGGGA